GAGGGCGUCAUGCAGAGGAGUUGAGGCUGGGCACCAUGAAGGGAGCCUCUGAGAGGCUACUGGUGAAGCCUAGUUGCAGUGAGAAACCCCAUCAUGUUAGAGAUGCCAGUACAAUGGGAUGACCAUCAGGAACAGCAGCAACAGUGGAGUAGAAUCAACCAGACCCUGGAAUGCUACAGAGGGCAAAGUUAGAGAUAUGACCCAAGCCCUUUGGAGGAACCCAGAAGAUAAUUUGUGGGUACCAGACAUUGGAACAAGAAGCCGUAACUUCAAUGUUGCCUUGGAGACGCCAAGAUGUUUGAGAUGCCAGAGUCAUGGGAUACCUGUUAUGGAAAACUACUAACAGGGAGUGUUACUAGCCACCAAAGAGAGUUGUGCUGCAGUCCACAACGCAGGAAGGAGUUGGAUAUAAGACGUGGAGAUGCUGACUUUAGAGUUUUCCCAGAUGGUUUUUGGUCUUGCAUUGGUCCAGUAUUUCCUCAGUAUAAAGCUUUGCAAUGAUAAUGUAUAUCCUGUGACAGUGGAGAGCAGUCUGGCAGACAAAGCAUCAGAGUCUUGCCAAACAAACCCAACACUGCUUUCUUCAACUGCUCCAAUGGAUACAGGACUCUAGCAAGCAAAAGUGGCCUCACCAGGCUGAAGAGGGGCCACCCUGUCUCAUCUCCUGUUCUCCACAGCUCAGCGUGUGUGUGGCUGUCUACAGGUUUUCACCUCACUCUUUGCUUAUUCGAAAUCCAGCUACCUCAGACACCCUGGGUUCAGCCCUCCUGGUGCUCUCCAGGGUGCUCAGCACCCUGUCCCCAGCUGGUUUCACAAAGGCCUCCACUUCC
rnacentral:lncRNA from 1 species